AACGAACGCUGGCGGCAUGCCUAACACAUGCAAGUCGAACGAGACCUUCGGGUCUAGUGGCGCACGGGUGCGUAACGCGUGGGAACCUUCCCUUAGGUUCGGAAUAACUCCCCGAAAGGGGUGCUAAUACCGGAUAAUGUCUUCGGACCAAAGAUUUAUCGCCAUUGGAUGGGCCCGCGUUGGAUUAGCUAGUUGUUAGGGUAAAAGCCUACCAAGGCGACGAUCCAUAGCUGGUCUGAGAGGAUGAUCAGCCACACUGGGACUGAGACACGGCCCAGACUCCUACGGGAGGCAGGAGUGGGGAAUAUUGGAAAAGGGGAGAAAGUCUGAUCCAGCAAUGCCGCGUGAGUGAUGAAGGUAUUAGGGUUGUAAAGCUCUUUUAACCGGGAAGAUAAUGACAGUACCGGGAGAAUAAGCUCCGGCUAACUCCGUG
rnacentral:rRNA from 1 species